AGAGCGUAGAGAAGAGUUAUUGAAACAAGCUAUUGUGAAUAUCGAUGAUAAACACCGAGAACAAUUUCCUUUAUGGUUCAAAAGAAAAAUUAUGCUAUUAUAUAAUAAGGAAAAGUCAAUGCCUAUCCAGAAAUUAUACCCUUUGGCAAUGGGACCUGAUGUGCGUGGAAGAACACAUACUGGUUGUAUUGUAAAUGGUGUCAAGUAUCAUGUUCAACGAUGCGAUGAAUUACGUAAAAGUCAAAAUUGUGGUAUAGUAGUUGCAGGCUACCAUGAAAAUGGUGAUUGACUUUUAUGGUAUUAUAGUUGACAUCCUUGAGUUAGAGUAUGUUGAGGAAAAUCGAAUUCUCCUAUUUGAAUGCAAGUGGUUUGAUCUUCGCAAGAAAACAGGGAUGCGAAAAGAUAAUAAUUUUACGAGUAUUUGUGUUAAAAGGUUUUGGUAUGAACAAGACUCUUUUGUACUAGCUACCCAAGAAAAACAAGUUUUCUAUAUAGAUGACCCAAAAUUGGGGGGAAAUUGGCGAAUUGUGCUCAAAUUUCAAGAUAGACACUUAUAUGAUGUGCCAGAGAAGGAAAAUUCAGAGGCAGAAAGUGAUGAGUUGCAUAUUGCAAAUGAUGAAGUGUAUCAAGAUAUUUCACUUGAAAAUAAUUCAAUUGUCAAUGAUUUGGUGGAAAUACGGUGUCAACUACAUAGAGAUGAUAUUGAUUCAGUUACCUUGGAUGCAAAUGUAAUUGAAUUGUAGGCUCAAACACAACAUGCGGUUAAAAUUGAUUACAGUGACGAUGACUGUAACCAAGAGGAUGAUACUAUAAUAGAGUACAUCAGUGAUCAUGAGGAGAAUGAAGGUAAUAAUAGUACCAAUGAUGAAGUUGAUAGCACAUUUGAUGGUGACGACAUUGGCUUGUGAUGUAACCUCAUAAGAGGGUCCAUAUAUUUGGACUGGUUGCAAACAAAAUAGAUGAAAUUGCAG